UACGUAGGGACCAAGCGUUGUUCGGAUUUACUGGGCGUAAAGGGCGCGUAGGCGGCGCGGUAAGUCACUUGUGAAAUCUCCGGGCUUAACUCGGAACGGUCAAGUGAUACUGUCGGACUAGAGUACAGAAGGGGCAACUGGAAUUCUCGGUGUAGCGGUGAAAUGCGUAGAUAUCGAGAGGAACACCUGCGGCGAAGGCGGGUUGCUGGGCUGAUACUGACGCUGAGGCGCGAAAGCCAGGGGAGCGAACGGG
rnacentral:rRNA from 1 species